AGAGUUAAACAGUACGUGAAAUUGUUGAAAGGGAAACGAUUGAAGUCAGUCAUGCUUGUAGGGAAUCAGCAAGGUGGUUUUUCUUCCUUGUGCACUUCCUUGCUUGGCAGGUUAGCAUCAAUUUUGAUUGUCAUUAAAGAACUGGGGGAAUGUGGCUUCUUCGGGAGUGUUAUAGACCCUAGUAGAUGUGGCGAUUGGGAUUGAGGAUUGCAGCGAAUGCUUCUUGGCUAGUCACCUGGCUUCUGGUGGUCGCCUUGCUUCCGAUAGCUUGCUAACGGUAGUGAGACUCGAUUGUCUAGAUGUUAGAGUGAUCAUAAAUUCGUUAAGGAUGUUGACGUAAUGGCUUUAAACGACC
rnacentral:rRNA from 1 species